rnacentral:rRNA from 1 species
AAGCGCUUGCAAUCAGACUUGCAUGCAGUUGAUCAUCCGAUGUUCUCACCGGUGCACUCAAUUGCAUUCAGGCCAGCAUCGGUUCUGGUGGUUGGAUAAAGGCCUUGGGAAUGUAGCUUCUCUCGGGGAGUGUUAUAGCCCUCGGUGCAAUGCAGCCUACCAAGACCGAGGACCGCGCUUUGGCUAGGAUGCUGGCGUAAUGGUUGUAAGCGA